AAUGAACGCUGGCGGCGUGCCUAAAACAUGCAAGUCGCGCGAGAAAAUCUAGCUUGCUAGAUGAGUAAAGCGGCGCACGGGUGAGUAACACGUAGGUAAUCUACCUAAAAGACUGGGAUAACAUGUCGAAAGACGUGCUAAUACUAGAUAAGCUCACGGGACACAAGUCCCAGGGAGAAAAGAUGGCCACUAUUUAUAUGCUAUCACUUUUAGAUGAGCCUGCGGCCCAUUAGCUAGUUGGUAAGGUAAUGGCUUACCAAGGCAACGAUGGGUAGCUGGUCUGAGAGGACGAGCAGCCACACUGGAACUGAAACACGGUCCAGACUCCUACGGGAGGCAGCAGUUGGGAAUAUUGCGCAAUGGGGGAAACCCUGACGCAGCGACGCCGCGUGUGCGAAGAAGGCUUUCGGGUCGUAAAGCACUGUCACUUGGGAAGAAAAAACGAGGGGGAAAGUUCCUUGGAAUUGACGGUACCAAGAGAGGAAGCACCGGCUAACUCCGUGCCAGCCGCCGCAGUAA
rnacentral:rRNA from 1 species